rnacentral:rRNA from 1 species
CCUACGGGGGGCAGCAGUGAGGAAUAUUGGUCAAUGGACGCAAGUCUGAACCAGCCAUGCCGCGUGCAGGAUGACGGCCCUAUGAGUUGUAAACUGCUUUUGUACGAGGGUAAACCCCGAUACGUGUAUCGGGUUGAAAGUAUCGUACGAAUAAGGAUCGGCUAACUCCGUGCCAGCAGCCGCGGUAAUACGGAGGAUUCGAGCGUUAUCCGGAUUUAUUGGGUUUAAAGGGUGCGUAGGCGGGUUGAUAAGUUAGAGGUGAAAUGUCGGGGGUCAAACCCGAAACUGCGUCUGAUACUGUUGGACUAGAGAAUAGUUGCGGUAGGCGGAAUGUAUGGUGUAGCGGUGAAAUGCGUAGAGAUCAUACAGAACACCGAUUGCGAAGGCAGCUUACCGGACUAUAACUGACGUUGAGGCACGAAAGCGUGGGUAGCAAACAGGAUUAGAUACCCGUGUAGUC